rnacentral:lncRNA from 1 species
CCCUCAUUCAAACAUUUCCCUCAUAUGAGCUAGUAGGCCCCGCCACGCCGAAAAUCGCCUUCGGCGGUGGCGGACGUCCAAAACCUACAAUCCUCACAUCAAUGAAACCGUCUUCGUCUCCUCUACCCUAAUCCACCCUCGCUUUCUUCCAAUUCUCAACCAAACAUUCAAACCGAAGCCAAUUGCACAUGAACCCUAAUUCACUAAAACAAUAAUUAAACACAAGUAUGGAGGAAUCAAAGCCUAAUUCCUUAGCGUUUAGAUUCCUCAGGUAAAACCUCACAUGGAUGCAACAAGAAUAAGGGAAAAUGAAGGAGUAAUGAGGAGAUCCUACAUACAAGGACGAGUUAUUCCCCGGUUAGUAUUGAAUUUGACACAAAUGAAGAUGAGGAC